UGCUAGCUUACGCUAGAAUAACAGUGAGGCAGUGGUAUUUGUUUGAAAAUGAAAGGAUUAUAUGGUCUUUGUAAAACGAGGAAUUUAGUUUUGGGGAGGGGCAGUGAAAUGGUGAUUUAUUUUUUGUUGAUGUUCCUAUGAAUCCUUUGAUAUGUCAAGUUCUGUCACUGAGUAUUAGGACAUUUGUAAUUUCUUGAAUCAACCAAGAGGAGGUACAUACGGGCUCAAAUAAUUUAUGUCAAAAACUCAACUGUGCAACCUAAAUGCCAGCCACUUAUUGUAAGACGAGAGUGGGGAUGGGCUAGUUGGUUUUUAAAAAUCUGCAGCUAGUUAAAUUUUGUGUCUUAGGGGGAAAAAGCCACCGUUCUCCCGACAUUGAUUAAUGGUAAGCGGAGUGUUUCUCGGGCUUUCAGUUUUACUCCAGGAAGACGGGAUACAAGCAGUCGCUCCUCACAGUUUUGGUUCCGUUCCUGGGGGAACCUGGUCCUGCCUCCAGGACAACAUAGAGCCUCUGCGAUCAGUGCUCAGAAGUCGGGGAUUUUUAGGAGGCGUCCUGGGACCCUGCUAGUGUGAAAUGUGUCUCCUCUUCCCCAUCGGCCUCCUUCCCCGCACUCGGAGUCCCCAAGGGCGGGGGCCACGGGGGCUGAUGACCCACCACUUCCUCCCCCAGGAGGGGUCGCAGGGCCCAGCACGUCCUGGACCCUUCAUUUGCAUUUGUGGGGUGUUACAUGAGUGAGUGCAGUCCACUCUUCAGGUGAAGACACGGAGGCCCCAAGAGGUGACACUACUUAGCAAAGGUCACCCAGCCACCCACCAGCACAUCUGGAUCUCAGAUGCAGCGUUCUGGACUCUGGGUUCAGAACCUUUGAAGAAUAUGGUACAGUUAUGCUCACUGAUGGCUUGCCCAUGUCGCUUUUCCCGUGUGCUGUCAUGUAACAAAUUGACUUCAAAGAAUGCCUUCUAUGAAACAUUAGAAAUGAAGCAUGUUCUGUCAUCAGCUGAAAGCAUACGAUGUUCACAAGAACUGUGCUCGAUCGGAGAAUAUUUGGCUUUUGCAAGGUGUCCCCUUGUCCAGGAAGUCUUUCCCUGCAGCGCUGACAUCCAGCCUCGGUUUGACCUGAAGCUAAAGCUGGAGGGCAGGGAUCAUACGGCUUGUGGAGUUCAGACGAGCACGGUGACCCCAGGGCACGGGGCCUCCUUCCUCAGCCCUGGGAGGGACAACUACGUGACUCGGCAGAUUCGUUGCCUCAGUUUACUCUUCUCUAAAUGGAUAAUGCUGAGGCAAUACAGAGAGAAUUGGAUGAGUGGGCAUACACAGGGUCUCACAAGUAUCUGAGGUCAUCAGUUGCUAAGUAGACCCACACUCUGCAUCAGGAGCUCAGCUCCAAGCAGAAUUCCUAUUUAGGACAUUGAUCUCCAAAUUCUUCUCAUUUGAAUGUCUUGACUCAUCAACAUGAUAAACUCCUUGAGUAUCUUUUCAAGCGUAUUCUAAACAACACCUAAAAUCAGGCUGGGUAGAGAGAGCUGAGCCAAUCUUUGCCUAACUGAUGAAUUACAACAGAAAAUUGCACUGCAGAGGACAGAACUGAGUUUGGCAAUUGAAAUCAUUCCCUAACUCGUGUUGCCCUUCUGACACCCUCUCACCUCCGCCUGAGGCUUCCCGAGUGACGGACGGACAAUCCUAGUGAAAGAUUGAAGAUUGAGAGGAAGUGUUUUUAAACAAAAAAAUAAUAUUUUCGGAGAUUUUCUUAAAUUGAUUAGAGGGAAAAAUAUGCCUGACAUUGGAAAAAUGAGUUCAAAGCCUGCGGUUUUACAGAGGUGGUUGUGUCCUUUUCUCCUUCUGUUCAACUCCUAAGGCCCACCAUCAAUGAAGUCUUCCCUGAGAUCAUGAGAGCAGUAAGAUCAGAGAAUUUAAGACCCAGGAGUGAUGUUAUUAAGGAGGUAAAAUUCCCUAAUAUUACAGAUGAAGGAGCUGAGGCCUGGGGAGGUUGUCGGAUCUGCCCAAGGUCAGCCAGCACCCAUGCAUCCUCUUCCAACUGGCCACCUACUUUGAUACUCAUGCCAUUGAUGUGAGCAUCUAACCACAGCAUGCAUGCUCUCCAUCUCCAUCUUGUUGUCUCUAUUAGAAGCACAGGCUCCUGGACGGCAGAAAAUAUGCGUGAUAUAUUUUUUUUCCCGCGAUUAUAUUCCCAUUGUAACAUGUUGCUGGAUAGCAGAUGGUGGUGUCACUGCUGGUUGAAUUUCCAUGAAUAUAGUAAAUGGCUAUUGAAAGAUAAACUGAGGGAUAUUAAAAAUUUUAAGAGUUUAUUUGAGCCAAAAUCAAUUUGAAUUGGGCAGCGCCAAAUCGGAAGUGGUUAGGAAGGAGCAAUCCACUGACAGGAGCUGGGGAGAGACCUCUGCAGGGAAGAGGCAGAGCGAAGCCAGGAAACCAUUGACUGGCUGUUCCUUAAAGCCUAGUUGGCUGUUGUGAUGGGUCAUCCUUGGGUUUCAGUUUCACGACCUGGAGGCAUUUACGGGCUUGGAUUUUGACUUGCUCACGACCGUCACCACGGCAUUACAGCCUCCUCAUCUGAUGGCCUCCUUGCUUAAUUACUCUAAUAUUACCGAUUGGUGGAGCUGUCAUAGGUGGUUAAGCUCUUUAAUCAGGGCCCACUUAGAGUCGUGUCUUUGGGUUGCUGUGUUCACAACGUGCAUCCGUAUUCCUUAGUUUUCUUGGUAUCAGUGGACACAUUCUGUACUUUGAAGUUACUGGUAAUGUCAAACUUGGGAAGCACUUUAUGUGUUUAUUUUCAUUGUGCUCAUGAAUUCAUUUCUCCUUUUGUAAAAUGCAGCUCGCAUCCCUCCCAGGGGUGCAGCAGCCAGAGACCACAGAAAGCCACAGGAGCACAGAAAUAAAAAUUAGGAGGCUUGGAUGCUUGUGCAGACCUUCCCACUAAUUGACACGUGACCUUGGGCCAAUAAUCAAACCUCUCCUGGUCUCGUCUUUCUCUGUAAAGUGAAGAAACGCGACCACAUGUCUCCAGCGGCCCUUCCGGCUCUGACACUCUGUGCUUGAACGGAGAACAGAUAGAUCAGGUGAGGGGUUUGGCGAAGGGCCUGCGGGUGUGCCCCCUCUCUGGUGACCUUGUCCUCACACAGGUGUAACUAGGAGUGUUGCCACAGUCACUGCUGGGAGCAAAGCUGGAAGAAAUUUCUGCUGUGCCUCCUAAGCCAAGUGUGUAGUAUGCCCUGGUGCCAUUGCAGUCAGUGGCUCGGGGGCAACUCGUCCCUUGGAAUAAAAGCUCCAGGAAAUGCUGGGCUGCGUGGCAUCGGCACUCUCAUUCUUCCUGUGCUUCCUCCAGGUGGCUCGUGCCCUGAAAGGGACGCCUUCAGAGGCAGGCAAGAAGGGGCCACUCACGGGAGUGAGGAGGAGGUGGCGUCCUGGGAGGGAAGCGGCCUGUGCUGCCCUCCCAGCCCCACCAGUCCUGUCUCGAUUUGGGUGCCGCGAUUGUCCUGCGUCCCUGCAUCCGUGAGAUGGCAGUGGCCUGCUUCCAUGGCUUCCUUCUCUGGGAACAAAUACUAUAUUUGUCAUUCCAACCUCAGUUUCUUUGCUCAGCCCAAUGGAUGUCAGGUCCUUAGCGGAGAGCGCGGAGGGGUACUCGGUUGUCCACACCUGCGGUUUCAGGAGAUGCAGGACACCAUCUAGUCCUCGGCGGUUACUCUUGUCCACACUUCUCGUUUCACGGACGAGGCGCUGAAGCCCAGAGAGAUCAAAGGUCUUCCACUCGGCUGUUGAGGGGAAGGAACCUGACGUCCUGACAUGCGCGUUGAUGUGCCCAGGGAGGAGCCACGGGGGGUCUGGUCUUCUCGGACGGCGCCCCAGUUUCCUCCUGCAUCAGAAGGCGAGUACUGUGUCUGGACGGUACUGUGCACAGCUGCUUCUGGCUCAGCUGCUCGUAAACUCCACAUCUGAGAACACAGCAGAAAAGAUGCAAGUACUGACUCGGAGCUGGUGACCCUGGGAACCAUGUUUGUGAGGGACUUUGCUGCUGCCACAGGAGCCUGAGGUGGCCGGUGACAAGUUGGGAGAAGUGGCCUGAGUGUGGUGUAUUUCAUUGGUCUACACUGAAUUUGCACGAAAGCAGCGGUUCAAGUGUGUAAUCGUGCAGUUCUGUGGGAAAUGUCCUGCCAGUGGUUCAGCAGACCCUUGUUCUUUGGAGAAGGAAAUUAUAAAAUACCUAAUUUCAUGUCUGCACACGGCCCCCAGGGAGUGGUGUGAGAGGAAAAAGCCACCAGUUACCAAGUACCUACUGGGUACACUAUGCUCAGGAAAUGCCAUUCACUCGUCUUGACGCUCAGAUGCUGAUGGUCUCUCUGCAGCCUUCCUGCGAUGCCCGAGUGUUCCUUCUGUCCUAGCAAUCUUAGCAGUGUCACCUUUGCUCAUUGACCCCAAACUAAACACAUGAAGAGGGCCUCGUCCACUUCUCUGUGCCUCAGAAUGCUGGGUCUUCCUCCUGCCGGGGCGCCGGCUGAUCCGUCUGUCUUGGGGACCGUCCCUGUGAAAGUCUCGUUGGUUCUUUCCGAGAACUCAUCGGGAGGGAAAACUUACAGUGGUACCAACGUGUAUUGUAACAAAAUGCAAGGAAGGUUGACUCAAAGGGGCAUUUUCUAAUAGAAUUUCAGGCAAAAGAACAUGGUUAAAUGGAAAAACAUAGCUUUUAAAAGAAAAUGCUGUUAUGACUAUUGCUUUUUUAAAAAUCUGUAAAGUAAUAUUGUACAAAAAAUUGCUUCCUUUCCCAGUACGUGAACAGUCCCCAUGGAUAAAAAAGUCACAUUUCCAAUCAUCCAACUCAUUCACUCAUUGCAAAGGCUCGAUGGCACACCUCUUAGGUUCUAGGCCGUGUGCUGGCCAUGCGAAGGUGAAAGAGACACUGUCCCUCAUAGUCUGUGACAUCUGGGACAAACCGGGAGAGUGGGAGGGGAUCUGGGAAGUCAUACAGCCUAGAGUCGCAUGUAAGACAGGGUCACAUCUAUGACAACUUGGGCGAGUGGCCACUUCUGCUCCCGCCCCUCCCGUGACGGGCACUGCCUGCUUGGGGACGAGUCGCUGCAUUUAUGACUCCCUCGGUUGUGCUGUGUUUGCUCAUAUUGCUCCCAAAUUUGUCUUCUUUUAUUUCUGCUUCAUAGUUCUUCUGGUUCUUUCUCUUGGAGCUACACAGAAGGCGCCUGGGGAUUUUGGAGAAAGUCCGUGUGACUCUCGGUUCCCCCGUGUCCUCUUCCCAGUUUCCUGCCGCCGUCCUCAUUGGCUGGGAAUAGUCUGCACAAUGGAAGUAACUGGAUUUUGGAGUCAGACUUGGGGCUGGGCCACAUUCUAGCUGCAAGAGCUUGGACACACAUUUGUUAGCAUUUUGAGUGAUAAUAAGCCCGUAUUUUCUCACUUGUAGAACAGAGACAAAAAUCCCAUCUCAUAAGAUUGUUCUGAAAAUAAACCGAGGAAAUCUGUGUGAUACGCCAGCACAGACUCCACACGUCCUUGGGCAUAAUAAACACUUGUCGUCAAGUGACCGGGUGAACGCAGGGUUUCACUGCUCUCCUCUCAUUGUUCCGCCCUGGACCCAUCCCGGCUGCUCAUCGGCUCCUUUAAAAUAAGGUGUUCAGAUCUGAGCGUGGGAUGUCAAUCUAGGGAAAGGAGUAGUGACUUUAUUUCUUGGGUUUAUCUGAACUUUUACUUAUGGAAGCUGAUCGUAUGUAUUUUAAGCAGCCUUCCAUUAUGCAAUGUGUUUUACAAUACGUAGGUUCCUUGAAUUUGUCGUUCAGCUAAGAACCUCAGAUUUUGUUUGUUUGUGGUAAAACUAGGUUUCUUGACCCCAGUGGGUGGAAUUGACUUAUCAAGCCCGAGAGCAGGAUUUUCACAUCCCUUCUGGUUGAGUUGCAGGCAGGUCCUCGGGCGCCCGUCUCAGAUUUUGAGCUGGAGCGGAAUCUGGACUCACCGUGGAUUUUAUUGCUGUCUCCCCUAACUUGGUGUGUGUCAUCUGCAGUUUGGUUGAACAUAUUUAUUUUAAAAUUUGAGGCUGAUCUGGCUGCCGUAUCUUUUCUCAUUGAUUGCCAGGAUAGGAUCAGCGUUUGAGGACUGCAAAGCAAGCAUCCCACACUUCUCCUUAAAUGUGCUCCCCAUUGAAGAAUGUGACCUUCCAGCUUGGAGGAGGAAUUUCCUUCCAUCAAGGGCAUGCCUUCUAUAUCUUCAUCUGGUCAAUUUACAAAAACACCAAGGUGGAACAUGGACUAAUGCAAAAUCUGGCCAUAUACCACUUUUCUCCAGAAGGGUUCAAAUCCAGGUCCCCUUUGGAGUGUAUUUACUGUUCAACCAACCAGGAAUCCAUCUAGUAACACUAUUGUCCGUCAGGUCCUACAUCACCAUUGUGAAGGAACCUCACAAAUGUGCCACACAUCGAGAUGCAAGGUGUAAACAAUAAUGAUGGCA